AUGAGUAGGGCGGGACACGUGGUAUCCUGUCUGAAUAUGGGGGGACCAUCCUCCAAGGCUAAAUACUCCUGACUGACCGAUAGUGAACCAGUACCGUGAGGGAAAGGCGAAAAGAACCCCGGCGAGGGGAGUGAAAAAGAACCUGAAACCGUGUACGUACAAGCAGUGGGAGCACGCUUAGGCGUGUGACUGCGUACCUUUUGUAUAAUGGGUCAGCGACUUAUAUUCUGUAGCAAGGUUAACCGAAUAGGGGAGCCGAAGGGAAACCGAGUCUUAACUGGGCGUUAAGUUGCAGGGUAUAGACCCGAAACCCGGUGAUCUAGCCAUGGGCAGGUUGAAGGUUGGGUAACACUAACUGGAGGACCGAACCGACUAAUGUUGAAAAAUUAGCGGAUGACUUGUGGCUGGGGGUGAAAGGCCAAUCAAACCGGGAGAUAGCUGGUUCUCCCCGAAAGCUAUUUAGGUAGCGCCUCGUGAAUUCAUCUCCGGGGGUAGAGCACUGUUUCGGCAAGGGGGUCAUCCCGACUUACCAACCCGAUGCAAACUGCGAAUACCGGAGAAUGUUAUCACGGGAGACACACGGCGGGUGCUAACGUCCGUCGUGAAGAGGGAAACAACCCAGACCGCCAGCUAAGGUCCCAAAGUCAUGGUUAAGUGGGAAACGAUGUGGGAAGGCCCAGACAGCCAGGAUGUUGGCUUAGAAGCAGCCAUCAUUUAAAGAAAGCGUAAUAGCUCACUGGUCGAGUCGGCCUGCGCGGAAGAUGUAACGGGGCUAAACCAUGCACCGAAGCUGCGGCAGCGACGCUUAUGCGUUGUUGGGUA
rnacentral:rRNA from 1 species